UGGGGAAUAUUGCGCAAUGGGGGAAACCCUGACGCAGCAACGCCGCGUGAAUGAUGAAGGCCUUCGGGUUGUAAAGUUCUGUCUUCUGGGACGAUAAUGACGGUACCAGAGGAGGAAGCCCCGGCUAACUACGUGCCAGCAGCCGCGGUAAUA
rnacentral:rRNA from 1 species